GACGAACGCUGGCGGCGUGCCUAAUACAUGCAAGUAGAACGCUGAAGGAGGAGCUUGCUUCUCUGGAUGAGUUGCGAACGGGUGAGUAACGCGUAGGUAACCGGCCUGGUAGCGGGGGAUAACUAUUGGAAACGAUAGCUAAUACCGCAUAAUAUUGACUAUUGCAUGAUAGUCAGUUGAAAGGUGCAACUGCACCACUACCAGAUGGACCUGCGUUGUAUUAGCUAGUUGGUGGGGUAACGGCUCACCAAGGCGAAGAUACAUAGCCGACCUGAGAGGGUGAUCGGCCACACUGGGACUGGGACACGGCCCAGACUCCUACGGGAGGCAGCAGUAGGGAAUCUUCGGCAAUGGACGGAAGUCUGACCGAGCAACGCCGCGGGAGUGAAGAAGGUUUUCGGAUCGUAAAGCUCUGUUGUAAGAGAAGAACGAGUGUGAGAGUGGAAAGCUCACACUGUGACGGUAUCUUACCAGAAAGGGACGGCUAACUACGUG
rnacentral:rRNA from 1 species